rnacentral:rRNA from 1 species
UGGGGAAUAUUGCACAAUGGGCGCAAGCCUGAUGCAGCCAUGCCGCGUGUAUGAAGAAGGCCUUCGGGUUGUAAAGUACUUUCAGCGGGGAGGAGGGGAGUAAAGUUAAUACCUUUGCUCAUUGACGUUACCCGCAGAAGAAGCACCGGCUAACUCCGUGCCAGCAGCCGCGGUAAUACGGAGGGUGCAAGCGUUAAUCGGAAUUACUGGGCGUAAAGCGCACGCAGGCGGUUGAUUGAGUCAGAUGUGAAAUCCCCGGGCUUAACCCGGGAAUUGCAUCUGAUACUGGUCAGCUAGAGUCUUGUAGAGGGGGGUAGAAUUCCAUGUGUAGCGGUGAAAUGCGUAGAGAUGUGGAGGAAUACCGGUGGCGAAGGCGGCCCCCUGGACAAAGACUGACGCUCAGGUGCGAAAGCGUGGGGAGCAAACAGG